GGACUCCCGCCCGCCCUCACACCGCGCCUCACGCCAGGCCCCCAGGCUUCGGGUAAACCCUGCCUGUGGAAUGCAGAGUGAUUGACGCUGUCCACCUCAAAAGACGUCAGAAGCUUCAAGGAAGAUGUCCCAGGGGGACUGUGCUGUGAAACAGAUGAAACAGUGAAGAAGAGAAGAGCUCUUGCUAUGGAGUACCCAUGGACACUGCCUCCCCUGGUCUCCGGCUCUGCUGUGCGUGCUAGAGCUGGCAUCAUGCAGGGUAUUUUGCAACAUAUAUGUCUGUGUACCUCGUGUGUUUUUGGUGCCCGUGGAGGCCAGAAGAGGGCACUGGAUGCUCUGGGACUGGAAAAGCAGACGGUUGUGAGCCACCACAUGGGUGCUGGGAAUCAAACCCAGGUCCUCUAGAAGACCACUCCUGUUCUUGGGCCCGCCUGACCACUUCUUCCUGUAGUUCAUCCAAUUCACUUCUAGAGGUGACCUCCCCAUCUGAGAUAGAAGCAAAGAAGAUCAAUUACCACCCCUCCAGAGUCAAGGAGAAUUGUCUGUUAACCUGAUGGUCACUAUGCCAUUUUCCCUUUGGAGCUCGUGCUUUCCGGUUUAGUUUCAGAUCCCUUUUCUUUAUUAUUUAUUAGACUCAGAGAGAGAGCAACACAGCCCACGAAUAAUGAUGAUGUUUACAACAUGUAUAUUUUCAAUACUUCAUGAAUGGUAACAGUAUAACUCCUAAUAUGUUUUAAGCAUUUUCAAUAUACUAAGAACAAUUUU
rnacentral:lncRNA from 1 species